rnacentral:rRNA from 1 species
GUAGGUGAACCAGCGGAGGGAUCAUUACCGAGUUUACAACUCCCAAACCCCUGUGAACAUACCUAUACGUUGCCUCGGCGGAUCAGCCCGCGCCCCGUAAAACGGGACGGCCCGCCCGAGGACCCCUAAACUCUGUUUUUAGUGGAACUUCUGAGUAAAACAAACAAAUAAAUCAAAACUUUCAACAACGGAUCUCUUGGUUCUGGCAUCGAUGAAGAACGCAGCAAAAUGCGAUAAGUAAUGUGAAUUGCAGAAUUCAGUGAAUCAUCGAAUCUUUGAACGCACAUUGCGCCCGCCAGUAUUCUGGCGGGCAUGCCUGUUCGAGCGUCAUUUCAACCCUCAAGCUCAGCUUGGUGUUGGGACUCGCGGUAACCCGCGUUCCCCAAAUCGAUUGGCGGUCACGUCGAGCUUCCAUAGCGUAGUAAUCAUACACCUCGUUACUGGUAAUCGUCGCGGCCACGCCGUUAAACCCCAACUUCUGAAUGUUGACCUCGGAUCAGGUAGGAAUACCCGCUGAACUUAAGCAUAUCAAUAAGCGGAGGAAAAGAAACCAACAGGG